rnacentral:tRNA from 32 species
GGACGGUUGGCCGAGUGGUCGAAGGCGCACGCCUGGAAAGUGUGUAGGCGGGGAACCGUCUCGAGGGUUCGAAUCCCUCACCGUCCGCCA